rnacentral:rRNA from 1 species
GAAGAUAUCCCGGUAGUUCGUGACUUUCCAGAUGUCUUUCCAGAGGAACUGCCAGGUGUUCCACCUGACAGAGAUGUAGAGUUUGUCAUAGAUCUUAUCCCAGGAACAGCUCCAAUCUCCCGGAGACCUUACAAGAUGGCACCCUUAGAACUAGCCGAGCUUAAGAAACAACUCGAUGAGUCCUUGCAAAAGGGUUUCAUCCGUCCUAGUUCUUCUCCUUGGGCUUGCCCCGUCCUCUUCGUCAAGAAGAAGGAUGGUACGGACCGGAUGGUUGUAGAUUAUCGUCCCGUUAAUUUGGUCACGAUAAAGAACAAGUAUCCGCUUCCCAGGAUCAACGACCUGUAUGAU